rnacentral:rRNA from 1 species
GAUGAACGCUGGCGGCGUGCCUAAUACAUGCAAGUCGAACGAGGUGCUUUUGUAGUAAUACGAAGGUAUCCUAGUGGCGAACGGGUGAGUAACGCGUUGGUGACCUACCCCAAAGUGUGGGAUAACAGAUCGAAAGAUCUGCUAAUACCGCAUGUGGUCAUCGGAUUCAGAAACUGAUAACUAAAGCAGUAAUGCGCUUUGGGAGGGGCCUGCGUCCCAUCAGCUAGUUGGUGAGAUAAUGGCUCACCAAGGCUACGACGGGUAGGGGACCUGAGAGGGUGGCCACCCACAAUGGAACUGAAACACGGUCCAUACACCUACGGGUGGCAGCAGUAGGGAAUAUUGCUCAAUGGGCGAAAGCCUGAAGCAGCAACGCCGCGUGUGCGAUAAAGGCCUUCGGGUCGUAAAGCACUUUUCUGAGGGAUGAGAAAGGACAGUACCUCAGGAAUAAGUCUCGGCUAACUACGUGCCAGCAGCCGCGGUAACAC